rnacentral:rRNA from 1 species
CUCAGUUCGGAUCGGAGCUGNAACCCGACUCCGUGAAGCUGGAUUCGCUAGUAAUCGCGCAUCAGCCAUGGCGCGGUGAAUACGUUCCCGGGCCUUGUACACACCGCCCGUCAAGCCAUGGAAGCCGGGGGUGCCUGAAGUGUGCAGCCGCAAGGAGCGCCCUAAGGUAAAACCGGUGACUGGGGCUAAGUCGUAACAAGGUAAC